rnacentral:rRNA from 1 species
AUUGAACGCUGGCGGCAUGCCUUACACAUGCAAGUCGAACGGCAGCACGGGUGCUUGCACCUGGUGGCGAGUGGCGAACGGGUGAGUAAUACAUCGGAACGUACCUUAUCGUGGGGGAUAACGCAGCGAAAGCGUUGCAAAUACUGAAUACGCACGGCGGGGGAAAGCGAGGGAUCGAAGGACCUCGCGCGAUUAGAGCGGCCGAUGCCUGAUUAGCUUGUUGGUGGGGUAAAAGCCCACCAAGGCGACGAUCAGUAGCUGGUCUGAGAGGACGAUCAGCCACACUGGGACUGAGACACGGCCCAGACUCCUACGGGAGGCAGCAGUGGGGAAUUUUGGACAAUGGGGGCAACCAUGAUCCAGCAAUGCCGCGUGAGUGAAGAAGGCCUGCGGGUUGUAAAGCUCUUUUGUCAGGGAAGAAACACCGGCUCUAACACAGUCCGGGAAUGACGGUACCUGAAGAAUAAGCACCGGCUAACUACGUGCCAGCAGCCGCAGUAA